rnacentral:rRNA from 1 species
GUGCCAUCAGCCGCGGUAAUACCGGCAGCACGAGUGAUGGCCAAUCUUAUUGGGCCUAAAGCGUCCGUAGCCGGCCAGACAAGUCCGUUGGGAAAUCGGCGCGCUCAACGCGUCGGCGUCCAGCGGAAACUGUGUGGCUUGGGGCCUGAGGACUCGAGGGGUACGUCCGGGGUAGGAGUGAAAUCCCGUAAUCCUGGACGGACCACCGGUGGCGAAAGCGCCUCGAGAGGACGGACCCGACAGUGAGGGACGAAAGCCAGGGUCUCGAACCGGAUUAGAUACCCGAGUAGUCC